rnacentral:rRNA from 1 species
GACGAACGCUGGCGGCGUGCUUAACACAUGCAAGUCGUGCGGUAAUGCCCUUUCGGGUGUACACGUGCUGCCAACUGGUGAGUAACACGUUAGCAACCUCCCCUUCACUUUGGGAUAACUGCCUGAAACGGUUGCUAAUACCGUAUAUGACUUCCUCACGCAUUUGGGGUGGUGGAAAUCCUUUGGUUGGUGGGGGAUGGGCUCGCGGUCUAUCAGCUUGUUGGUGGGGUGAUGGCCUACCAAGGCUUGGACGGGUAGCCGGCCUGAGCGGGUGACCGGCAACACUGGGACUGAGAAGAGGCACAGACUCCUACGGGAGGCAGCAGUGGGGAAUAGUGGACAAUGGGCGAAAGCCUGAUCCAGCAAAGCCGCGUGAGGGAUAAAGGCCUUCGGGUUGGAAACCUCUUUCGCCUGCGAAGAAGCGAGAGUGACGGUAGCAGGUAAAGAAGCACCGGCCAACUACGUG